rnacentral:misc_RNA from 1 species
AGCAGCCGCGGUAAUUCCAGCUCCAAUAGCGUAUAUUAAAGUUGUUGCAGUUAAAAAGCUCGUAGUUGAAUUUCGGGGUUAGUAGGUUGGUCAUGCCUCUGGUAUGUACUGGUCUCACUGAUUCCUCCUUCCUGAUGAGCCGUAAUGCCAUUAAUUUGGCGUUGCGGGGAAUUUGGACUGUUACUUUGAAAAAUUAGAGUGUUUAAAGCAAGCUAACGCUUGAAUACAUUAGCAUGGAAUAAUGAAAUAGGACGUUCGAUCCUAUUUUGUUGGUUUCUAGGAUUGACGUAAUGAUUAAUAGGGAUAGUUGGGGGCAUUAGUAUUCAAUUGUCAGAGGUGAAAUUCUUGGAUUUAUUGAAGACUAACUACUGCGAAAGCAUUUGCCAAGGAUGUUUUCAUUAAUCAAGAACGAAAGUUAGGGGAUCGAAGACGAUCAGAUACCGUCGUAGUCUUAACCAUAAACUAUGCCGACUAGGGAUCGGAUGAUGUUAAUUUUUAAUGUACUCAUUCGGCGCCUUAA